GGUCGUAUGUAUGACGUCAUUU
rnacentral:miRNA from 25 species